rnacentral:rRNA from 1 species
UACAGAGGGUGCGAGCGUUGUUCGGAAUUAUUGGGCGUAAAGGGCGCGUAGGCGGUGCGGUAAGUCACCUGUGAAAUCUCCUGGCUCAACUGGGAGCUUGCAGGCGAAACUGCCGUGCUGGAGUGUGGGAGAGGUGAGUGGAAUUCCUGGUGUAGCGGUGAAAUGCGUAGAUAUCAGGAGGAACACCUGUGGCGAAAGCGGCGCACUGGACCACAACUGACGCUGAGGCGCGAAAGCUAGGGGAGCAAACAGG